GAUGAACGCUAGCUACAGGCUUAACACAUGCAAGUCGAGGGGAAACGAUAGAGAAAGCUUGCUUUUUCUAGGCGUCGACCGGCGCACGGGUGAGUAACGCGUAUCCAACCUGCCCACCACUUGGGAAGAACCUUGCGAAAGUAAGACUAAUACCCAAUGACGUCUCUAGAAGACAUCUGAAAGAGAUUAAAGAUUUAUCGGUGAUGGAUGGGGAUGCGUCUGAUUAGCUUGUUGGCGGGGUAACGGCCCACCAAGGCGACGAUCAGUAGGGGUUCUGAGAGGAAGGUCCCCCACAUUGGAACUGAGACACGGUCCAAACUCCUACGGGAGGCAGCAGUGAGGAAUAUUGGUCAAUGGGCGAGAGCCUGAACCAGCCAAGUAGCGUGCAGGAUGACGGCCCUAUGGGUUGUAAACUGCUUUUAUAAGGGAAUAAAGUGAGUCUCGUGAGACUUUUUGCAUGUACCUUAUGAAUGAGGACCGGCUAAUUCCGUGCCAGCAGCCGCAGUAA
rnacentral:rRNA from 1 species